UACAGAGGUCUCAAGCGUUGUUCGGAUUCAUUGGGCGUAAAGGGUGCGUAGGCGGCGCGGUAAGUCGGGUGUGAAAUCUUGGAGCUUAACUCCGAAACUGCAUUCGAUACUGCAGUGCUUGAGGACUGGAGAGGAGACUGGAAUUCAUGGUGUAGCAGUGAAAUGCGUAGAGAUCAGUGAGGAAGACCAGUGGCGAAGGCGGGUCUCUGGACAGUUCCUGACACUGAGGCACGAAGGCCAGGGGAGGCAAACGGG
rnacentral:rRNA from 1 species